rnacentral:RNase_P_RNA from 1 species
CAAGCCGGACAGGCGGCCGCGGGCGGCAACGUCCGAGGAAAGUCCGGGCUCCACAGGGCAGGGAGCUGGCUAACGGCCAGGGGGAGUGAUCCCACGGAUAGCGCAACAGAAAACAUACCGCCUCCGGGGUUUCGGCCUCGGCGGUAAGGGUGAAAUGGCGGGGUAAGAGCCCACCGCGUCUCGGGCGACCGAGACGGCACGGCAAGCCCCUCCCGGAGCAAGACCGCAUAGGGCAGCGUUUGAGGGCGGCCCGCCCGAUGCUGCCGGGUAGGUCGCUGGAGGCGCGGAGUAAUCCGCGUCCUAGAGGAAUGGUCGCCGCCGUCGAAAGACGGAACAGAACCCGGCUUAUGGCCGGCUUGACGC